AGGAAAGAUGCCCAUUAUGAGCUGCCAGGGAACAAGUACCUGGGGACUGACCUGCUAUGAGCUAUCAUUAUAGCAGACACCAGCAGCAAAAUAUUACAUGCCCAAAAGAUUCCCAAAACCCACGGAGGGAAUGCCACAUAACAGAAGAAUGAAGAUUCCUUAGGGAAAGGAUCUGAGUGUGUCUUUUUUUUUCUCGCAUCAUCUUCAGUACCCCUACUUUUGCUUACCAAGGGCUUGAUUUUGCAAGGUCCAAGCACUGGCACCCUGAGCCAGGGCCAUGACUGUAGACUUGCCCUCAUGUUGGAGAACUAGAACUAUGAGAG